rnacentral:rRNA from 1 species
CGGACGACGCUGGCGGCGUGGAUUAGGCAUGCAAGUCGAACGGUAUCAUCCUUCGGGGGUGAGAGAGUGGCGAACUGGUGAGUAACACGUAGGUUAUCUACCCUCAAGACGGGACAACCCAGGGAAACUUGGGCUAAUACCGGAUGUGAGCAACUUUUAGUGUUUGAAAGGUGGCGUAAGCUGUCGCUUGGGGAUGAGCCUGCGUCCUAUUAGUUAGUUGGUGAGGUAACGGCUCACCUAGGCAAUGAUAGGUAGGCGGCCUUAACGGGUGGUCGCCCACACUGGGAUUGAGAUACGGCCCAGACUCCUACGGGAGGCAGCAGUCGAGAAUAGUCUACAAUGGUCGGAAGACUGAUAGUGCGACGCCGCGUGAACGAUGAAUCCCUUCGGGGUGUAAAGUUCUUUUAUAUGUGAGCAGUGCUUCUUAUAUUAACAGUAUGGGGAGAGAGAUAUUAGCAUAUGAAUAAGCAACGGCUAACUCCGUG